rnacentral:rRNA from 1 species
GACAGAGGGUGCAAACGUUGUUCGGAAUUACUGGGCGUAAAGCGCGUGUAGGCUGCUCAGAAAGUCGGAUGUGAAAGCCCUGGGCUUAACCUAGGAAGUGCAUUCGAAACUUCUGAGCUUGAGUUCUGGAGAGGAAGGCGGAAUUCUCGGCGUAGAGGUGAAAUUCGUAGAUAUCGAGAGGAACACCGGUGGCGAAGGCGGCCUUCUGGACAGUGACUGACGCUGAGACGCGAAAGCGUGGGGAGCAAACAGG